AGAAAAAGGGGACGUAAGAGCAGAUAUUUAAUUUAGCGCUCCCGGCCUGGGCAAUAUAGAAAUAACUUCGAAUUGGAGUCGGCUCAGAACCCUAGCUAGUUCUAUCUCGCGUUCUCCUCCAUCUCGGGAGCCCUAGAAAUUUUGGGAGACAUGUCCGGGAUGUACGGUCAAGGAGGCGACGGAGGUUAUGGCGGCGGUGGAUACGCCGGUGAAGGUGGAUAUGGCGGCGGAGGCGGGGCUGGAGGCUAUGGUGGUCCUGUUGGAGGUGGUGGCGGUAGCGGUAGCUAUGGCGGAGGCUAUGGUGCCGGUGGUGGCGCCGGCGGCGGAGGGGGCUAUGGGGGAGGCGAUGGAGGUUAUGGUGGCGGAGGUCGGGGAGGUGGUUACGGGGGCGGAGGGCGCGGCGGAGGCGGUGGUGGUAGGGGAGGUGGUGCUGGUGGAGGAUAUGGAGGGAAUCGAGGAGAUCGUGGCGGCCGGGGCGGUGGCGCCAGAGGAGGGGGCCGAGGAGGUAGCGGCCGUGAUGGCGAUUGGCUGUGUCCUAACCCCAGCUGUGGGAAUCUGAACUUUGCCAGAAGAGUCGAAUGCAACAAAUGUGGAGCACCUUCUCCCACUGGUUCUGGUGAGCGCGGUAAUGGUAAUGACCGGGGAGGUGGUGGUUAUAACAGAGGAGGUAGCGGUGGAGGAUACAGUGGAAAUCGAGGGGGCCGAAGUGGAAGUUACGAGGGUGGUAGAGGUGGUAGCUAUGACGGAAGAAGUGGCAGCAGCGAUAGAGGUAGUUCUUAUGGAGGUAAUCAAGGGAGAGAAGAUAGCGGUUAUGGCCAGGUUCCUCCACCUGCACCCCCAUCUUAUGGUGGGGCUGGUACAGAUCUUUUGCCUCCUGCAAAUGCUUAUAGGGGAAAUGCUAACUAUGGUACUGAGGCUGUUCCUCCUCCAUCAAGCUUUGGUGGGGGGCCAACAUCAUACCCUCCAAUGUAUAGUGGCACACCUGGUGGUUUUGGUGGUGGUGGUGGUGGUGAUAUCGGAGAUGCAAGGACUGGAGGCCGGAGGGUUCCACCCUCCGGGUUUGAUGGAGGCUAUGGUGGUGGUGCUCCACGGCACCAUGGGGGUGGUGGGACUGUUGCCGCUGAUGUCCCUGCCGCUAAGGUGAAGCAGUGCGAUGAGAACUGUGGGGAUACUUGUGACAACUCGAGGAUUUACAUAUCAAAUUUGCCACCAGAUGUGACCACUGAUGAACUGAAGGACCUCUUUGGAGGCAUUGGUCAAGUUGGAAGAAUCAAGCAGAAACGAGGUUACAAGGACCAGUGGCCGUAUAAUAUAAAAAUCUACACUGACGAGGAAGGGAACAACAAAGGGGAUGCUGUGUUGUCUUAUGAAGAUCCAUCUGCUGCACAUUCUGCUGGCGGUUUCUUCAACAAUUAUGAAAUGAGGGGAUACACAAUAAAUGUUGCAAUGGCAGAGAGGUCAGCUCCAAAAGCUCCACCUGCAUAUGACCGUGGCAGGGGUGGUAGAGGUGGCUAUGGUGGUGGUGGGGAUAGACGCAACAGAGAUGGCGGAGGUUCUGGGCCAGAUAGACAUUAUCAUGGUGGAAAUCGUUCGCGUCCUUACUGAUUAUACUUCAGCAUGGGAGAUAUUAUGUAUACUAGAAAUUGUGGUUCAAGCGUUUAGUUGUGUGUUGCGUUGGCUGGAUUGUUCUUUGACUGGAGACUAAGAGAGGCAAGUGGAAUAGUCCCCAAUUGCUUGCUGCUAAGGUAGGUAGUGUCUUCAGUUAAUCACAGAGAAAGAUGCUAGUGUAAUUGGUGAACUAGAUGCCAUGAACUUAUCAACACAUGCCUAUCUUAAGCAAGGUAGGCGACCUAUGAAGUUUAGCUGGCGGCAGGGAUUUGCUUGUAGCAUAAACCACUUUACAUUUCUCUAAUGGGCAGUCUCAUCUUCGGUCUUAUACCUCGACCUUAUGACGGUUCAGAAGAUUAUAACCUUGUUCUUGUCAGGUUGAUUUUAUCUGUUUUACUCAGCUGUAUAUUUGAUUUAGCUGGUAGGUACUGUUAACUAUGGUAACUUUUCUCUACUCCCCUUCAUUUUGAACUAAGAAUUAUCUUCUUCUUAGUAGCGGGUUAAGGGUGGUAACAGGGAUAGGAAUCUUUUUGGGUUUGUUGGGGAAAAUUUAAAGGUGGACCUAUCGUUCAGGGGUACACAGGAAUUUUGUUUUUCCUCUUUUUAAAAGAUGUGACUGACUGUGAAAAGGGGUCGACAAUGAUCAUUGUUCAUCAAUAGGCUUGUUGAGGACAGCCAUGAAUCGAUUGGGGGCCAGGACAUGGGCAUCCAUGGUCGUGGGAUUCCAGAAACCACCGACUUUGAUGGAUGCCUUCAAUGUACCAAGCCAAGCUAAUAAUAGGUCUUUAUCCUGGGGACUAGCAUACUGGUUCUUAACCUUCUCCUCUAGAAACUUGGGUGGAUCGAUGAUGCAUUACUUUUCUGCCGUUUAUGAGGCUUCUUGGUUUUUUUCUUUUGGCGGCAUCAUUUUAAGCAAUUUGCUGCUGGAGUUAAAAUUUCCAUACUGGUUCUCUGGAAUGGCAGAUAGGAUAUUCUACUGUAUGGAAUUCUCAAAUUUUGUAAAGACAAUGAAUAAGGGGUUUUGGUUCCAUUUAUUUGUAAUUUCAAGCUGGGUUUCGUGGCAUCGAAGUUCAAAGGGGAGAUCUUAUUUCAAUUUCUCCUCUUUUCAUUGUUUUUCUGGUUUUUUCCUUGGUUUCUCCUUGUGUUUCCCACCACUCUUUAGAUUGCAAAAAUAAUUCGAAAGGCCAAUCAUAAUGUGAAAACCUAUUGAAACAAUCUGUAAGUUCCUCCUGUUCGUAUGUCGAAGCUAUUGGGAUAGACAUUCCCCGUGGAAACCCUUGUAUCAGACAUGAAGUUCAUUGUGAAAUGCGGGAUCUGGUCUGCAAG